rnacentral:rRNA from 1 species
AAUUUUGGACAAUGGGGGAAACCCUGAUCCAGCCAUCCCGCGUGUAUGAUGAAGGCCUUCGGGUCGUAAAGUUCUGUCCUUGGGGACGAUAAUGACGGUACCCAAGGAGGAAGCCCCGGCUAACUACGUGCCAGCAGCCGCGGUAAUACGUAGGGGGCGAGCGUUGUCCGGAAUUAUUGGGCGUAAAGGGUUCGUAGGCGGUCUUUUAAGUCAGAUGUGAAAGGUCACGGCUCAACCGUGGUAAGCAUUUGAAACUGAAAGACUUGAGUUAAGGAGAGGAAAGUGGAAUUCCUAGUGUAGCGGUGAAAUGCGUAGAUAUUAGGAGGAAUACCAGUGGCGAAGGCGACUUUCUGGACUUAUACUGACGCUGAGGAACGAAAGCGUGGGGAGCAAACAGG